rnacentral:rRNA from 1 species
GACAGAGGGUGCAAACGUUGUUCGGAAUUACUGGGCGUAAAGCGUGCGCAGGCGGUUAUGUAAGACAGGUGUGAAAUCCCCGGGCUUAACCUGGGAACUGCAUUUGUGACUGCAUAGCUAGAGUACGGUAGAGGGGGAUGGAAUUCCGCGUGUAGCAGUGAAAUGCGUAGAUAUGCGGAGGAACACCGAUGGCGAAGGCAAUCCCCUGGACCUGUACUGACGCUCAUGCACGAAAGCGUGGGGAGCAAACAGG